AUACGGAGGGUGCAAGCGUUAAUCGGAAUUACUGGGCGUAAAGCGCUCGUAGGCGGCUUGUUAAGUCGGAUGUGAAAGCCCCGGGCUCAACCUGGGAACUGCAUUCGAUACUGGCAAGCUAGAGUAUAGUAGAGGCAAGUGGAAUUCCGGGUGUAGCGGUGAAAUGCGUAGAUAUCCGGAGGAACAUCAGUGGCGAAGGCGACUUGCUGGACUAAUACUGACGCUGAGGAGCGAAAGCGUGGGGAGCAAACGGGAUUAGAAACCCUGGUAGUCC
rnacentral:rRNA from 1 species